rnacentral:rRNA from 1 species
UACGAAGGGGGCUAGCGUUGCUCGGAAUUACUGGGCGUAAAGGGCGCGUAGGCGGCCUUCUAAGUCGAACGUGAAAUCCCUGGGCUCAACCCAGGAACUGCGUCCGAUACUGGGAGGCUUGAAUCCGGGAGAGGGAUGCGGAAUUCCAGGUGUAGCGGUGAAAUGCGUAGAUAUCUGGAGGAACACCGGUGGCGAAGGCGGCAUCCUGGACCGGCAUUGACGCUGAGGCGCGAAAGCCAGGGGAGCAAACGGG